rnacentral:rRNA from 1 species
UAUACUAAAGUUGUUGCAGUUAAAAAGCUCGUAGUUGGAUUUCGGGAUGGCACGGUUGGUCAAUCCGCAAGGAAUGCCACUGGCUGCGUUGUCCUUCUUCGCGAAGACCACGUGUGCUCUUAAUUGAGUGUGCAUGGAAUUUGCGACGUUUACUUUGAAGAAAUUAGAGUGUUCAAAGCAGG